ACACGAGGGUUAAAGAAAUUUUUUCUGUUAUUUUACAACAGACAAAAUCUGUAAAAAUGUAAACUAUCUUUAAGAAGUGCAGUGAAAGGAAACAGUUUUUUACAGUGUAGUGUUUUUUUUAUCACCAAGAAUGUGAAGCGGCUUCAUCUUUCAUCUUCUCCUCCCGCUGUCACCACUUCUCUUUUUUCCAUUUUUGCUCUCCUGCUCUGUUUCUUCUUUCCACUGCUGCUCUAAUCUCCAACCAGCUGAUCUUCACCCUGGACUCCCUCCCUCCUCUUCCUCCUCUUCCUCCCUUGCUGCCCUCCUCUUCCUCCUCUUCGUCCUCUUCCUCCUCCUCGCUGCUGCCGGAGCUCCAGUUUCCAGCCGGCCUCCCCCCACUGCGCUGCUCCCAUGGCCGACUCUCCUCUGAACAACUCCUGGCCGUCCUUCUCCAAGCUGUGGAUGAAGAGAUGGUCCUUCAAGAGAGCGUCAGAGUGUAAGCCAUGUAGUCGGCCCAGCGAGGCUCCCAGUUCCCAGCUCGGUGUCCAGGUCUCUGCCUCCCAGCGGGAAAGGAUCGUCCUCGUCUUUGUCUCCUGCCUCCAUCACCGAGGACGUCUUCUUUGGCAGCACCAACGAUGACCAGGACACCUGUUCGGUGGUGAGCGACUAUGACUGCCCCUGUGUGCAGCUGAACAGCAGCAUCGAGGACCUUCAGGGUUUCAGCUCUUCUCUCAGAGACUCAGAGUUCUUCAGAGACCUCCUUCCAUCCACAGGAACCUCCACGGUCCCAGAGAGCAGAACCCAGCAGAGCGUCGGUCCUCAGGGGU